AUUGAACGCUGGCGGCAGGCCUAACACAUGCAAGUCGAACGAGUGGCGGACGGGUGAGUAAUGUCUGGGCAACUGCCCGAUGGAGGGGGAUAACUACUGGAAACGGUAGCUAAUACCGCAUACCAUCGGAUGUGCCCAGUUGGGAUUGGCGAGUAGGUGGGGUAACGGCUCACCUAGGCGCCGAUCCCUAGCUGGUCUGAGAGGAUGACCAGCCAAACUGGAACUGAGACACGGUCCAGACUCCUACGGAAGGCAGCAGUGGGGAAGAUUGGACAAUGGGCGCAAGCCUGAUGCAGCCAUGCCGCGUGUAUGAAGAAGGCCUUCGGGUUGUAAAGUACUUUCAGCGAGGAGGCGGUACUCGCAGAAGAAGCACCGGCUAACUCCGUGCCAGCAGCCGCGGUAAUUC
rnacentral:rRNA from 1 species